ACACAAGGUGGCGCUGCAAUUCUUGAAGAACACUUAGGCCUCAAAAUGGCAGCUUCCAUUUGGAAAUUCGGCAAACUUGUCUUGCCUAAAACGAGAGGAUCUCCUCGUCUUUUCAAGUCAUUGGAAUCGAGUUCAGUCCUCCCUCAGCAUGACCAGCAUAGAAACCUUUCCAUCCAUGAGUACAUGGGAUAUGAUCUACUAGAGGAAGCAGGCGUCCCUAUCCCUAGAGCCGAGGUGGCUACCACUGCACAGAGGGCUUAUGAGAUUGCCAAGAGCUUAGGGUCAGGAGAUGUCGUAGUCAAGGCCCAGGUGUUGGCCGGCGGGAGGGGGAAGGGCGCCUUCACCAGUGGUCUGAAGGGAGGGGUCAAGCUGGCCUUCUCACCGGAAGAGGUCAAAGAUCUGGCCUCCCAGAUGAUCGGCAACAAGCUGGUCACCAAGCAGACCGGUGAGGGAGGCAGGAUCUGUAACUCGGUUCUUGUUUGUGAGAGGAUGUAUGUCAGGAGAGAGUACUACUUUGCUAUCACAAUGGAAAGGGCAUUUAAUGGGCCAGUAUUGGUAGGCAGUUCACAGGGUGGUGUAAACAUCGAGGAUGUGGCAGCAGAGAGUCCAGAAGCAAUCAUCAAAGAACCCAUCGAUAUUGAAGCAGGUAUUCAGAGAUCACAGGCGGAAAAGAUGGCCAAACUCAUGGGCUUCCCCGACAGAGCUGUGGAACAGGCUGCAGAAACAUUUAUGAACCUGUAUAAUAAUAUCUUCAUAAAGUAUGAUGCUACCAUGCUCGAGAUCAACCCCCUGGUCGAAGACAGCGAAGGACAAGUACUGUGUAUGGACUCCAAGAUCAACUUUGAUGACAAUGCUUUGUUCAGACAAAAGAAGAUCCACGAUUUGAGAGACUGGUCCCAAGAAGAUGAGAGGGAGGUGUCAGCAGCGGAGUACAACCUCAACUACAUAGGUCUGGAUGGAGACAUCGGAUGUUUAGUAAAUGGAGCUGGAUUAGCUAUGUCAACCAUGGAUAUCAUUAAGCUUCAUGGAGGUACUCCUGCAAACUUCCUUGAUGUUGGAGGCGGAGCCACUGCUGACCAGGUCAAGCAGGCUUUCAAGCUCAUCACAUCGGAUAGCAAGGUUCAAGCCAUCAUGGUGAAUAUCUUUGGAGGCAUCAUGCAAUGUGACAUCAUAGCUCAGGGUAUCAUUGCCGCUGCCAAUGAACUCAAUCUCAAAGUACCCAUUGUCGUCAGGUUACAGGGAACCAUGGUUGACGAAGCUAAAGCAAUCAUUGCACAUAGUGAUCUCAGGAUACUGGCCUGUGAUGAUUUAGAUGAAGCAGCAAAGAUGGUCGUUAGAUUAUCCACCAUUGUAGGACUAGCAAAAGAUGCUCAUGUAGAUGUCAACUUCCAGUUGCCGUUGUGAGUGGGAAGUCGAAUGCACAAAUUUAGAGGGCCUAACCGCCUUUUAUUCAGAGAUAAGAAAGAAAAAAAAUCCUUGUUAUAUUGUUAUUCUUGAGUUUAUUUAGUAAAGUGAGUUAGUAUGUGUGUGUUUAUUUCCCAAUAAAGAAAACCACUUGUGCGUUUGCUUUAAGAAUGUCACAGUUUACUGAAAUGGACUAUACUCUUACCUCAUUUAUUGAUAUUAUUUGGGUAACGCAGUCUAAUUUUGUAGGUGCUGUGAUAUAACCCUGCACCUCCCACAAAAGGAUGAUCAUUUAAAAUAUUCAACAUUUUACGAACCAGAGGGACGUUUUCUCAUAUACUUUGACAUAGAGACAAAACCAUUCUGGCUUUUAAUAGACGACGUAUUACAUAUAUACAUCAUACAAGGUAAUUGAUACUUAAACAAGGUAAUGGCCAACUUUAUCCUGUCUAAAAGUGCUAACGGGUGUGUUAAUUUCAAAUAAUUUCCCUUGGGACGUCUGUUAAACUGCUGGAGAUCUCUCUGCUCUGUGUAAAUAGGUGGAUGGGUUUAUUGGUUGGUGGAAUACAGACUUAUGUCCACAAUUAGAUACCAUACAUAGGAAGCUAGACGGGCAUUAACUCCAUUUUGAAGGAUAUUACAUAACGAUCUUCUGGUUUCCAGUGGGCAGUACCUGUAUUCACUCAUUUGCUAUUUCAUACACACAUUUCCAAACUUAGAUAAUGCCUGUUCAGAGCAAAAAGGAUGCUAGAUCAUUUUUCAGGGUUAUUAGGUAACAAUUUCCUAGCUGUAAGUAGACAGUAAAGGUAGGGUUGUAUAGAUAUAUGAGAGUCAUAUAAUAGUAUAAGAGGUGUAGUGAGCAUAGAUCGAUACAACGGUUUGAGCUUGACUUUUCAUGAUGUGAUGUAACGUCCUUUUGCCGGUCGGCCCUAAUGAAAGAGUGAUCCAAGACACCUUGACCUUGAGAAAGAUGGAGACACAAACCAAACUUUGGCGCACAAAUUAUAAUUUAAUGCAGUCCAUCUCAAACAGGAACAAUACAAGGUAGUUUCACAGUAAAAUUACAAGGUGACAAGGCUUUGGAAUACUUAUACAGUGUCUAUUAUCCAUUGAAUAAAAGAAAUUUCUCUUUGAAUAUCAUCGCCAUCACAAACCCAGACAUGAUAUUACGUUACGGUCUGCCGAGAGACAGAAAUGCAUUGACGCUUUGAUUGAGAUAGAAACUAUACUUUGGGCUUAAGAAUGCACCCCAUCUCUUCUUUUGCAAAUAGAAGUCUGCAAUUUUCUCGUCAUCAGAGCCUUGUAAAUAGAUAAGAGAGAUAGCAUUCACAGUUUUAACUUAAUUUCUGUUUCUUUUCGACACCAAUGGUGCAAAUGACAGGAAAAUUAUAUAGUUCUGUACGUAUUGGUGAGAGGAUUGUUGUAAUAUGUUGUACAAGUUUGUUUUUUAAUGCACACGGUAUUGUGUGGGCAUAAUUGAUAUGCAACUUGUUAUUCAUAGGUGAAAUAUGAAUUAAAUGAAUUCUAACAUUAUAAAAGAUUCA
rnacentral:lncRNA from 1 species